UAACACCACGCUUCACUGUGCCAUUAAUGGACAACAUUUUGAUUUGGCAUAUCAGAUAAUUCAUUUGUAUCCGGAUCUAGCAAACAGGGUCAAUAAGAAAGGAUUAUACCCUCUCCAUAUACUUGCGGCCAAGCCUUCCGCUUUCAGAAGUGGCAAACCCCUUGGAGGAAUAUGGCAUAGAGCCAUCUAUAACCGCAUAUAUGUUGAUGAGCUCAAGCCGGAACAGCCUGAUCACGAAGAUGAUAUUCCAAAUAAUCAUCCGAGGAGGGCAUCGUUGGGCAUCGCUAAUUCAUUCUCAUGG